GACGAACCGAGCGAACGUUGUUCGGAAUCACUGGGCUUAAAGGGCGCGUAGGCGGGUUCGCAAGUCUGUGGUGAAAUCCUCCGGCUCAACCGGAGAACUGCCUCGGAUACUGCGGGUCUCGAGGGUGAUAGGGGUAUGCGGAACUAUCGGUGGAGCGGUGAAAUGCGUUGAUAUCGAUAGGAACUCCGGUGGCGAAGGCGGGUCUCUGGACAGUUCCUGACGCUGAGGCACGAAGGCCAGGGGAGCAAACGGG
rnacentral:rRNA from 1 species